rnacentral:rRNA from 1 species
GCUGCCCUUCCUACGGGAGGCAGCAGUAGGGAAUUUUGGACAAUGGGGGCAACCCUGAUCCAGCCAUGCCGCGUGAGUGAAGAAGGCCUUCGGGUUGUAAAGCUCUUUCGGCCGGGAAGAAAUCGCAUCUCCUAAUACGGGGUGUGGAUGACGGUACUGGAAGAAGAAGCACCGGCUAACUACGUGCCAGCAGCCGCGGUAAUAAGG